rnacentral:rRNA from 1 species
AUUUGCGUCGAAGGUAUACCGGUAAGGAGUGCUGGAGCGAAUAGAAGUGAGCAUGCAGGCAUGAGUAGCGAUAAUUAAUGUGAGAAUCAUUAACGCCGUAAACCCAAGGUUUCCUACGCGAUGCUCGUCAUCGUAGGGUUAGUCGGGUCCUAAGUCGAGUCCGAAAGGGGUAGACGAUGGCAAAUUGGUUAAUAUUCCAAUACCAACAUUAGUGUGCGAUGGAAGGACGCUUAGGGCUAAGGGGGCUAGCGGAUGGAAGUGCUAGUCUAAGGUCGUAGGAGGUUAUACAGGCAAAUCCGUAUAACAAUACUCCGAGAACUGAAAGGCUUUUUGAAGUCUUCGGAUGGAUAGAAGAACCCCUGAUGCCGUCGAGCCAAGAAAAGUUUCUAAGUUUAGCUAAUGUUGCCCGUACCGUAAACCGACACAGGUGGGUGGGAUGAGUAUUCUAAGGCGCGUGGAAGAACUCUCUUUAAGGAACUCUGCAAAAUAGCACCGUAUCUUCGGUAUAAGGUGUGGUUCGCUUCGUAUUAGGAUUUACUCCGAAAGCGAAGAAACUUACAACAAAGAGUCCCUCCCGACUGUUUACCAAAAACACAGCACUCUGCUAACUCGUAAGAGGAUGUAUAGGGUGUGACGCCUGCCCGGUGCUCGAAGGUUAAUUGAUGGGGUUAGCAUUAGCGAAGCUCUUGAUCGAAGCCCGAGUAAACGGCGGCCGUAACUAUAACGGUCCUAAGGUAGCGAAAUUCCUUGUCGGUUAAAUACCGACCUGCAUGAAUGGCGUAACGAGAUGGGAGCUGUCUCAAAGAGGGAUCCAGUGAAAUUGUAGUGGAGGUGAAAAUUCCUCCUUCCCGCGGCAAGACGGAGAGACCCCGUGGACCUUUACUAUAACUUGACACUGCUAUUUGGAUAAAGAUGUGCAGGAUAGGUGGGAGGCUUUGAAGCUAGGACGCCAGUUCUAGCAGAGCCAUUGUUGAGAUACCACUCUUCUUUAUUUGGGUAGCUAACUAGCUUGAGUUAUCCUCAAGUGGGACAAUGUCUGGUGGGUAGUUUGACUGGGGCGGUCGCCUCCCAAAUAAUAACGGAGGCUUACAAAGGUUGGCUCAGAACGGUUGGAAAUCGUUCGUAGAGUAUAAAGGUAUAAGCCAGCUUAACUGCAAGACAUACAAGUCAAGCAGAGACGAAAGUCGGUCUUAGUGAUCCGGUGGUUCUGUGUGGAAGGGCCAUCGCUCAAAGGAUAAAAGGUACCCCGGGGAUAACAGGCUGAUCUCCCCCAAGAGCUCACAUCGACGGGGAGGUUUGGCACCUCGAUGUCGGCUCAUCGCAUCCUGGGGCUGGAGCAGGUCCCAAGGGUAUGGCUGUUCGCCAUUUAAAGCGGUACGCGAGCUGGGUUCAGAACGUCGUGAGACAGUUCGGUCCCUAUCUGCCGUGGGCGUAAGAAGAUUGAAGAGAUUUGACCCUAGUACGAGAGGACCGGGUUGAACAAACCACUGGUGUAGCUGUUGUUCUGCCAAGAGCAUCGCAGCGUAGCUAAGUUUGGAAAGGAUAAACGCUGAAAGCAUCUAAGCGUGAAGCCAACUCUAAGAUGAAUCUUCUCUAAGCUCUCUAGAAGACUACUAGUUUGAUAGGCUGGGUGUGUAAUGGAUGAAAGUCCUUUAGCUGACCAGUACUAAUAGAGCGUUUGGCUUAUCUUUAAUAAAGCAU